rnacentral:misc_RNA from 1 species
GAUGAAGAACGUAGCGAAAUGCGAUAAGUAAUGUGAAUUGCAGAAUUCAGUGAAUCAUCGAAUCUUUGAACGCACAUUGCGCCCCUUGGUAUUCCGAGGGGCAUGCCUGUUCGAGCGUCAUUAUAACCCCUCAAGCUCAGCCUGGUGUUGGGGCCUGCUGCACUGGCAGCCCUUAAAAUCAGUGGCGGCGCCAUCUGGCUCUAAGCGUAGUAAUUCUUCUCGCUAUGGAGUCCUGGUGGAUGCUUGCCAUCAACCCCCAAUUUUUCUAUGGUUGACCUCGGAUCAGGUAGGGAUACCCGCUGAACUUAAGCAUAUCAAUAAGCGGAGGA